AUGAGUACUACAUUCUUUGACAAUUAUAUGGCAGCAGAAGAAGUAGGGGCAUUGAGGAAUGAAGGAUACCUCCAAAUUUUUAUAUUAAUAGGUACUGUCAUUUUUGUAAUCCUCAAUACUAUAUUUAGAGAUGAAAAAAUAAGAAAAAUUGAGGAUAAAAUGCAAGCCCAAUUAGAAGAUCUAAAAAGUCUCUUACAGGAUCAAUUGGCAAACAACCACUCUACCAGAAACAGACCUGUUUCUGAACCUUUGAAUGAGGAAAUUUCCUUCCCUGAAAUAGAGAUGGAAAACACCUUCCCUAUAGCCCAGUUAACAGACUGCUUCUCUCGUGUAGUGCAAAUCUUGUCUGAAUUUAAUCCCCAAAACCCUUCCCCUGCAAUCCCAGCUUCUCAUGUUCCUUCUACAGAAAACCAAAUUCCAAUGCAAGGGAGAUCUUGUCCUCCUAGAGAAACCUGUCAUUGUCAAACUGACCCACAGGUGCAAAAUUCAACUAGAGGCCUGUUUCCUCUAAGAGAAGUACCUGAAAUAGGACAAAAUGGGGAUGUGGUGACUUUAAGACAUAGGAUACUGUUUACUCCCCAAGAAAUAAAUGAAUUUACACGAAAUAUCCCCACAUAUGAACAAGAUCCUUUUCUAGUAACAAAAAAGAUGGGAGACAUAUUUUUUCAGUAUAAUCCAUCUUACAAGGACGUUGAGAGCUUACUACAGGCUUUUUUAAGUGAACGUGAAAAAAAUAAAAUAAUUGCUCAUGUCAACAAAACCCGGGGGCGUAAUGCAGCACAUUGGCCAUCUCAGGAUCCCGAAUGGGACUAUAACAAUCCUGAUGAUUAUCUACAACUAUACUGUUGUAGAGAGGCCAUCCUCACGGCCAUGAAGGAAUGUGCAGACAGUACAGAUAAGUGGAUGGAACUGGAAAAAAUUAAGCAAAAGGAAGACGAAACACCCUCCAGAUUUAUGGACAGAAUUAUCGAGUUUGGGGACAGAUACUUAGAUUGGGACUUAACUAAAGAGAGUAGUUUAAGACAAGUUAGGAGAAUCUUUGUAAACAAUUCUUGCAAAGCAAUUAAAAAUUAUUUUAAAACACAAUGCCCAAGAUGGUCAGAUAUGGACCUUGAAGAAUUGCGAAAAACAGCUAUAUAUGUUUUAAAGGGAAACGAAGAAAAGGAGAAAGAAAAUAAUGAUGACAUGGAGGAAAUGAAGAAAAAAAUGAGAUAUUUAAUAGAUAGGAUAACUAAAUUAGAAAGUGGGCAGGAUAAUGAACCAACGACAAUUGCCCCUCUCCAGAAAUCCAAUUAUCAAUCCAUUACUUGCCACUUCUGUGAGAAGGGCCACAAAAUGAUGGAAUGUAGAACCUUUCUUAAGAUGAUUGGAAGGAAUACACAGUUUAAUAAUAGCUUUAGAAAUAAUAACUAUAAUGAAUAUAGAAAUAAGAACUUUAGAAACCAGAAUUAUAGAAAUAGGAAUUGGGAAAUUAAUGACAAUGCUCAAAUUGAAGAAAAUUUUAAUGAUAAUACUCAACAAUAUAUGAGAAAUGGCGCUCGUCCAAAAAUUACUCGAGGUACUAAUGACCCUCAGAGAGGUGCCCUUCAGGGGGGUGCCCAAGGAAUAUCCCAAACACAAUGA
ensembl:lncRNA